CGCGGGAUUAGAGUUUGAUCAUGGCUCAGAUUGAACGCUGGCGGCGGGCCUAACACAUGCAAGUCGAGCGGAAACGAGAAUAGCUUGCUAUUCGGCGUCGAGCGGCGGACGGGUGAGUAAUGCCUGGGAAAUUGCCCUGAUGUGGGGGAUAACCAUUGGAAACGAUGGCUAAUACCGCAUAAUAGCUUCGGCUUAAAGAGGGGGACCUUCGGGCCUCUCGCUUCAGGAUAUGCCCAGGUGGGAUUAGCUAGUUGGUGAGGUAAAGGCUCACCAAGGCGACGAUCCCUAGCUGGUCUGAGAGGAUGAUCAGCCACACUGGAACUGAGACACGGUCCAGACUCCUACGGGAGGCAGCAGUGGGGAAUAUUGCACAAUGGGCGCAAGCCUGAUGCAGCCAUGCCGCGUGUAUGAAGAAGGCCUUCGGGUUGUAAAGUACUUUCAGCAGUGAGGAAGGGUGUGUAGUUAAUAGCUGCAUACUUUGACGCUAGCUGCAGAAGAAGCACCGGCUAACUCCGUGCCAGCAGCCGCGGUAAUACGGAGGGUGCGAGCGUUAAUCGGAAUUACUGGGCGUAAAGCGCAUGCAGGUGGUUUGUUAAGUCAGAUGUGAAAGCCCGGGGCUCAACCUCGGAACCGCAUUUGAAACUGGCAGGCUAGAGUACUGUAGAGGGGGGUAGAAUUUCA
rnacentral:rRNA from 1 species